GGUAAGAUAUGGUUGUCCACGCCGUUUUUAAAAGGAGUUCAGUCGCUAAUCAACUGCGGUAGGAUACAGUUGGGACCUUACCGCAAACAUCAUAUAGAACUUGCGACUUUUUCGUGUUAGAAUCGCUGUAUGAAGCAUUUCGCGAUGAUGACAGUGUAAGAAAUUUAUUAUACUCUUUAUUAAGUGUAUAGCGGGGGUGUUAUUAGACAUAUUCGUAGCAGGCAUCAACGCAAGAAACAUGUCUAGUGUACCACAAAUGUCUAGUGGGCUUAGCAAGCUCAAAAAGAAACAUUUCCGAGUUAAACAUCAAAAGGUUAAGCUGUUUCGUGCAAAUGAACCUCUUCUUAGUGUUUUUAUGUGGGGUGUCAAUCAUACGAUAAAUGAGCUUAGUCAUGUUAAUAUACCAGUAGUACUCCUACCAGAUGAUUUCAGAGCUUAUAGCAAGUUAAAAGUGGAUUAUCAUUUUUUUAAUAAGGAAAAUAUGCCCUCUCAUUUUACGUUUAAAGAAUAUUGUCCAUUAGUAUUUAGAAAUUUACGAGAAAGAUUUGGUAUAGAUGAUUUGGACUACAAGGAAUCAAUGACAAGAUGUCGGGCAUUUAAUCCUUCCCUAUCAGAGAGGCAUUGGAAUUUGGAUAAGAAUGGGAAGACUCAUAAAUUGGUUCAACAUUCUGCUACUACUCCUUCAAUAACUUUUUCUCCUCCUCCUGUUCUUUCACAAAUUCCAGUCCUAAGUAAACCAUUACUACGUUCCUACAGUUUUAAACCAAAGCGUCUGAGAUCACAACCUAUAUUAGAAGAUUCAUCUGGAAAAAGUGGUGCAAAAUUUUAUCAGUCUUAUGAUAAAUUGUUUAUUAUUAAAACUCUUACAGGAGAAGAAGUAGAAAGAAUGAAUUCAUUUUUAAAACAUUAUCAUCCAUAUAUUGUGGAAAGACAUGGAAAAACUUUAUUACCUCAAUAUCUUGGCAUGUAUCGUUUGACAGUAGACGGAGUCGAACAUUACGUCGUUGCUAUAAGAAAUGUAUUUUCAAAUCACCUAACUACUCAUAAAAAAUUUGAUCUCAAAGGUUCAACAGUAGAUCGUGAAGCUUCUGAUAAAGAAAAAGAAAAAGAUUUACCUACUUAUAAAGAUAAUGAUUUUGUUAAAGAAGGAAUGAAAAUUUAUAUUGGUGAAGAAGCAAAAACUAAACUUAUAGAAACAUUAACUGCUGAUGUUGAUUUUUUAACAAAGUUGCAUUUAAUGGAUUAUUCUUUAUUACUUGGGCUACAUGAUUGUGCACGAGCUGAACAAGAAAAUAGAGAACGUGCUGAGAAAGAGGAAGAAGAAGAUAAUCAUGAAGAAGAAGAUGAUAGUGAAUCGGGAAGUGGGCUUGAUUCACGAGGUCCAAUGGGAGAUCGUCUAUGGGGUUGGAGUGGUGUUGCAGGUAUGACAACUCCUCCUGAAUCGCCACAUGCUGCAUUAAUGCGCGAUACAAGCUUACAAUAUGAAGAUGCAAUAAUUCCUGAAUUAGAUAUUUAUGCAAUUCCUAGUAAAGAAGGUGCACCUACUAAAGAAAUUUAUUUUUUAGCCAUAAUUGAUGUGUUAACUCAUUAUGGUGUACGUAAACAGGCAGCAAAGGCAGCUAAAACGGUGAAGUAUGGUGCUAAUGUUGAUGGUAUAUCAACCUGUGAUCCAGAACAAUACGGCAAGCGAUUUAUAGAAUUCAUGAGCAAAGCUAUAGAAUAAGCUCCUUGUUCGUUGUUGUUAAGCUUGUAAAUUUGGACCGCUUGUUUGAAAGUCGUGAUGAUACUAUCGCUUCUUAUUACGUUAACAUUAAGUGCAUCGCAUUUGCACUUUGAUGUUUAAUCAUAAAAAUUUUUAUUUGAUAUGUCAGUACUGUUGAUUAUAUAUUUCAGUAUUCCUUAUGACAUUUACAAUUGAAUUAGAAGCAUAACCAAAUUUUAAAAAUUAUAGACUCUUAGAAGAUCUGAAGAUUUCUUUUCAGAAAAUGUUUAAUAAUUUUUAUAAUCAAUGAUAUAUUUUCUCAGUAUUUAAUUAUUAAUUUCUUUUUAUUCAAUUAUUGAUUCAUAUUCAAUUCUUUAUAUUCAAUUAUUCUCUACGUUUAAUAUUAUUGUUUUCUUCUUAUAUUCUUUACUUUUUGUUUAUGUUAUUCAUAAUUCCAAAAUAUGAGACUUAAUUUUUGUGCAUUAUAUGUUCACGUCGUAAAAGUUUUGCACAUAAUCUUUAUUUUAUAAGAUUGUAAUUGGUAUAGUUAAUAUUAUAUUCAAAAACAAAUUUUUUACAUAUAUUUGUUAAUAUCUUUUUGUUGCAUUAAUUAAUAUAUGAAUAAUGCUAACAAAAAAAUGUAUUGUAUAUUAUUUUUGAUGCACAUAAUGUGCUAUAAAAACUGCGUCAUUUGGCAGUAAAUAAUAUGUAAACUAGUUUAUGAAAAAUAUUAAAAUGAAUGUUGAUGUUAAAUAUGAUAAUCUCAAACGAAGCAUGGUUUAGUAUUUCAUGAAGAAAGCCUAUUUAUGAGAGUCUCUCCAAUUUCAUCAAAAUGAAUUAUAUUGCUUCUAAUCUAGUGUCUGUGGUGUCGUCUGGAAUGUUUAAAUAUUCGAAGUAGAAUAUAACAGUUUUUACAGUGAGAAUUUUCUUUUUUUAGUAGGUCUAAAAGAAGGAGAGAAGUAAUAUAUUAUAUGCGCAAAAAAUAUAGUAUAAGAGCUUCAAAUGUUAACAAAUUAUUAGUAAAUGUCAAAGUCUGUAAAUGUCAUUGAUCAUUUCAGUUACCGCGAGUUGAUGUUAAAAUCAUCGAUUCGUUUAUUUAGCGAAGUACAUUUACAGGGAACAAAGCAAGUUGUACGUAUUAUGCACGAUUCAUCUCUCCUUACAUGUUCAAAUUCAUACAAAUUUAAUUAGCUAAUGAUGAUUUCAUUAAGAAAUACAAUAUAUAUAUAUAUAUAUACAUAUAAAACAUUGCGAGUAAUUAAAAGUGAAAUCAAUACUGUUACAUAGUGAAUUCUCUUGUUACUUACAAGUUUUAUGUGUGUAUAUAUAUAUAUAUAUAUAUAUACAUAUAUAUAUGUAUUCAUUUAUACAUAUAUUUUUUUAAUGUCUUGAGAAUACUAAUUUCUUAUUUAUAAGAAAAAUUAUUUAAUUAAAAUACAUUCAUAUUUUUUUAUACAAAUUUUGUAGAAUUUAUUUACUGAUAAUAUUAAUUCUAAAUUAAUUCAUUUUUAAACAACUUAUACAUUAUAAAAUAAUAUGUAUAUAUCUUUAUAGUAUUAAAUUCUUAAUAUAUAAUAUCAAACUUCGCUAUAAUUAAUAAUUUUGGUUAAUAAUUUUAUUUUCAAAAACGUGCUAAUGCAAUUUCACUUUUUUAUUUGAUAAAUUUAUUUGAUAUCAGAUAAUUUCGCAUUAAUUAUAUUUUAAAAUCAUAUAACGUUAUAUUGUACAAAGGAGAAUAUACCGUUGCAUAAUACUAUAUUUUUAAAUGAUCUAAUAAUCAAUUUUUUAUAAUUUGUUAAAAUUGAUCAUAAUAUAAUGACUAAUUACUUUAACUAAUUAAGGUAUUCAUCUAGUCUUGAUACUUUAUAUGAUUUAUAUACAUUACCAAACAUUGGAAGAAUAACAAAAGUAAAUGAAAAUGCAUAUUGCCAAUAAAGCUGUAUUAUAAGAAUGGUUAACAUUAUAAAAAUACGCUCAAUUUCUGUAAUGAUAUAGAUUCUAUAAGAUAAAAUACAAAUUGUUUUCUCAAUUACAAUUUAUUAUUAUACAAUAACAAUUUUUUUAAUUACAUUUAUUACCAUUAUUAUUAUUGUAUUGAUUCGAUUUGCAAAGUUUUAAGUUGUUUAAAAUUUCUUUAAAAAAUUAAUUAUAAAUUCAAAAGCAUCCAAAUUUGUAAAUCGUUUGCUUAACUGAAUUACAAGAAAAAUUUUGAUUAUUUUUCAAUUUAAAUUUUCGCAACUCGCACCAUGUAGAAAUGAUGUAUAUAUUCACUACUUUGCUGUUGGCAGUACAUAUCCAGGCUUCUGUUAUCCUAACAUUUGUAUUAUUUACAGAGUCUGUGUUGUAUAAGCUACGGGAAAUAAAUGGACAUUUAACAUAAGACAUUUAAGAAAUUAUAAAUAAAAAAAUAUUAAAGUUUUCAAGUUCACCAUCUGUAUCUUGUUCCUGUGCGACAAGGCAAUAUCUGGAUGCUUUGUUUGUAAUAUCUUUCGGAUCUGUUAAUUGUGUGAUACUUCGUUUAUUUCGAAUAACUGGUUGAAAAAUGGUACCAACCGGAACUAAUCCAGGAGGUCGAUGAUCAAUCCAUCUUUCUGCACUUUGUGAUCUUCUAUAAUGUAGAUUUACUACUGGUAUUCUAUCCUAAAUAUUAAUAAAGAUCUUCUUGCAAAAUAUUUCGCUUUUGAAUACGCAAUUCUAAGAAACGCAUAAGUGUAGUGAUUAUUUCAUCAUUAUGUGGAUUUGUUAUAUCUAUUUCUGGAAAUGGUCCUCCAAGACUAGAAAAAAAUUGAUUACAUAAUAAAAUAAUUUUAUUAUUAUUAGAGGAUAAAUAUAUAUAAUAAGAAAAUAAAA